AUGAGCAAAUACUCAAUUGAUGGUGGUCGCAGUGGUCUGGCUUCUGACCUCAACUUGCCUUUUAUCUUGGAUAAACUAGAACCUGUCGAGAGCCCGCGGAGACAUCUUCUUGGGUCGGUUCAAGAUGAGGACCCCUCGUUUCAGUAUACCAAAGAGAUCGACGCCCGUCAAGGGUGCAGCGUAACACAGACAGUCUUCAAUGGUAUUAACGUACUGGCUGGUGUUGGCCUUCUUUCCACUCCGUCUACAAUUCAUGAAGCUGGAUGGGCUGGUCUUGCAGUUCUGUCUGUUUUUGCAAUUAUUUGCUGUUAUACUGGAGUUCUUCUUAAGCAUUGUUUCGAGAGCAAAGACGGCAUUUCAACCUAUCCAGACAUUGGGGAGGCUGCCUUUGGAAAAAUUGGCCGCUUGAUCAUAUCUAUUAUUUUGUAUACCGAGUUAUAUGUAAGUAGUUCAUUUCUGCAUGGCUUGUAUUUUCCAAAGCUUACCGAGUUAUAUUCAUAUUGUGUGGAAUUCAUUAUUUUGGAAGGUGAUAAUAUCACAUCAAUCUUUCCUGACAUUAAUCUUAAUUUGUUCGGGAUUCAUGUUGAUGGUAGACAUUUCUUUGGAAUGCUAACUGCUCUUGUAGUCCUGCCCACAGUAUGGUUGCGAGAUCUUCAAGUGCUAUCAUUCCUUUCAGCGGGCGGCAUUAUUGCAACUCUUGUGGUUUUUGUAUCUGUUGCUCUAGUUGGCACCACUGAAGGUGUAGGGUUCCAUCCGACUGGGGAAGCAGUCAAGUGGAGUGGGAUGCCCUUUGCUAUCGGUGUUUAUGGUUUCUGCUACUGUGGGCAUUCGGUAUUUCCGAAUAUCUACCAAUCAAUGUCUGAUCGCACAAAAUUCACCAAGGCACUCUUUAUAUGGUUCACAAUUUGCACAACAAUAUAUGGCUCGUUUGCUAUUAUUGGCUAUCUUAUGUUUGGUGACAAGACUUUGUCGCAAAUAACUUUGAAUCUUCCAAAAGAGUCAUUUGCCUCGAAAGUUGCUCUGUGGACCACGGUGAUCAACCCUUUCACUAAAUUUGCCUUGUUGUUAAACCCAGUGGCUCGGAGUUUAGAAGAGUUGCGCCCUGAAGGAUUUUUGAACGAAACAAUCUGCUUUAUUAUACUGAGGACAAGCCUUGUGGCGUCAACUGUUGUGAUUGCCUUUCUUCUUCCGUUCUUUGGUUUGGUGAUGGCUCUGAUUGGAUCCCUGCUCAGUAUACUUGUGGCAGUCAUAAUGCCCGCCUUGUGCUUCUUGAAGAUCGCACAGAAUAAAGCCACACGCACGCAGGUGAUUGCAAGCGUCUCUAUAAUAGUGGUUGGAGUCAUCAGUGCCGCCCUCAGAACCUACUCCUCGGUGGCCAGCAUAAUCGGAUACUACUGA
rnacentral:rRNA from 1 species